UGUAGGUGUCUUUUUCUGCGGACCAGGUGUCCUCUCCAUGACCCUACACAAAAUGUGCAACAAGCAUUCCACAGUGGGAGGGACCAAGUUCUUCUACAACAAAGAAAACUUCUGAUCUACGUCAUUGGUCUACAAAAUAUCUACCAUGAUAAUUGACAUUUUGUUUUUAUAUUUAUUGAUGCACCAAAGACAUUAUAAUCAAAUUUAAUGAUAUAUAUGCUUAUGUUUUAUUUUCCUAUUUUACAUGAAGAGAAUGAAUGUAUUUUAAUUGUGUAUAUGAAAUUUAUUCUGACUUAUGAGUUGUACUCUACAAAUGAUGUGCUACAUCUUAAAAGAUAAUGUCUUAUAUUUUUGGAUGAGGAUUUUUUCUCAAAUAUAUAAAAUUCUUGUAUAAACAUGCAAUAUACUGGUAUGUGUAUGUGGAUUUUUAUUUAUUGUAUGAUACUAGUAUUUCCGCUUUAUUGCUACAAACCAAAUAAUUCCAUAUUGACUUACUUUUCAUUAUCAUUUUGUAAUACAAUUUGAUAUUUUUAUGUGUAUAUUUUAUCUAUUAAAAAGGAAGGCUCACCAGUUUAGUGCUUUAUUUUUUCUUGUUCCGGUACAUAUCUUGUCUCAAAUAAAUGAAUGAAAAUCUAUGCAAUUUGUAUUGUUACAGCAGUUUGUGUAAAACAUUUUCCUUUUUCUGUGUAUUUAUGAUCCCUGCAAUUGUUGCUCCUAUGUUUAUUACCUAUAAGGUGUGUUAGUGUUUAUGUAUAACAUAUAUUGGUUAUCUGUACCCAUUUCGAGUUUGUGUCAUAGAUGAGCAAAGUUGAGAACUUUCUUUCGUAUAUAUCAUGCAAUAUAUACAUAUAUCUUUUACCUCUGCGUUAUAAGCAGGCUGUGUUACCACAUGAGAUUAUAAAUGUAUAUAAUCGAAAUAAAUAUAUUUAAUAAC
rnacentral:misc_RNA from 1 species